rnacentral:rRNA from 1 species
UAAGCCAUAAGUGCCCACCUUAAAGCUCGACUUAGCUAACGCUCAAAACCAGGCCGGUAAAUUCCGUGCCAGCCACCGCGGUUACACGGAAGGCCAUAAACAACAAGCCCAACGGCGUAAACUGUGACUAGAGUAAACUUUUGCCCCCCGAGACAUCAACUUUAGUAUAGUUGUAAAACACAGAUACACAUAAGAUUCACCCCCUCUCUGGAGCCAAACUCUCUUGAACUCACGAAAGCUAGGACAUAAACUAGGAUUAGAUACCCUACUAUACCUAGCUGUAAACCUAGGUGAACCCUUUACCCCGCCCACCCGCCAGAGAACUACGAGUGAAAAACUUGAAACUCCAAGGACUUGACGGUGCCCCAUAACCCCCUAGAGGAGCCUGUCCUACAAUCGAUGCUCCACGCUAAACCUCUCCCCCCUUAGUCAAAAUCAGCCUAUAUACCGCCGUCGCCAGCCUACCUAGUGAUAGUCGCACAGCAGGCAAAAUAGUACUCCCACUAACACGUCAGGUCAAGGUGUAGCUUAUGGGGCGGCAAGAGAUGGGCUACAUUUUCUAACCACUAGAAAAUCCACCGUAGACUAUAUGAAACUUCUAGCCGACCGGCGGAUUUAGCAGUAAAUAACGACAAGCUAUGUCCAAUUGAAGUAGGCCCUGAGGCGCGCACACACCGCCCGUCACCCUCCUCAAAAAUCCUUAUAAAAAUAACUAAACCACACACUAACUGCAAGACGAGGCAAGUCGUAACAUGGUAAGCCUACCGGAAGGUGGGCUUGGCACACACAGGGGGUAGCUUACACCCGACCCAAAAGCACCUAGCUUACACCUAGACGACGCGGCUAUCCCGCCCCCUUGAGCUGACCAGUUAGCCGGCCCUACCCCUGAAAACACCCUUCUACCCCCUCCAACUAAAACAUUCGCCAAAGAGAGUAUUAGAGAAAGAAACCUACCCCCGCGCAAUAGCCAACAGUACUACAUAGGAACACUGAAAGACCAUUAACCACUUUAAGCAUAAAACAGCA